AGUGAACGCUGGCGGUAGGCCUAACACAUGCAAGUCGAACGGCAGCACAGUAAGAGCUUGCUCUUACGGGUGGCGAGUGGCGGACGGGUGAGGAAUACAUCGGAAUCUACUUUUUCGUGGGGGAUAACGUAGGGAAACUUACGCUAAUACCGCAUACGACCUACGGGUGAAAGCAGGGGAUCUUCGGACCUUGCGCGAUUGAAUGAGCCGAUGUCGGAUUAGCUAGUUGGCGGGGUAAAGGCCCACCAAGGCGACGAUCCGUAGCUGGUCUGAGAGGAUGAUCAGCCACACUGGAACUGAGACACGGUCCAGACUCCGACGGGAGGCAGCAGUGGGGAAUAUUGGACAAUGGGCGCAAGCCUGAUCCAGCCAUACCGCGGGGGUGAAGAAGGCCUUCGGGUUGUAAAGCCCUUUUGUUGGGAAAGAAAAGCAGCAGGUUAAGACCCCGCUGUUCUGACGGUACCCAAAGAAUAAGCACCGGCUAACUUCGU
rnacentral:rRNA from 1 species